GACGAACGCUGGCGGCGUGCUUAACACAUGCAAGUCGAACGGAAAGGCCCUGCUUUUGUGGGGUUCUCGAGUGGCGAACGGGUGAGUAACACGUGAGUAACCUGCCCUUGACUUUGGGAUAUCUCCAGGAAACUGGGGCUAAUAUCCGAUAGGAGCUCCUGCUGCAUGGGGGGGGUUGGUAAGUUUCGGCGUUUGGGGCUGGACUCGCGGCUUAUCAGCUUGUUGGUGGAGUAGUGGCUUACCAAGGCUUUGACGGGUAGCCGGCCUGGGAGGGUUGCCGGCCACCUUGGGCCUGAGAUACGGCCCAGAAUCCUACGGGAGGCAGCAGUGGGAAAUAUUGCACAAUGGGCGGACGCCUGAUGCAGCAACCCCGCGUGCGGGAUGACGGCCUUCGGGUUGUAAACCGCUUUGGCCUGAGACGAACAGUGAGUGACGGUAAUGGGUAAAGAAGCACCGGCUAACUACGUG
rnacentral:rRNA from 1 species